CUGAAUACAACAGGUGUAGUAAACCUUACAGUGAAAUGCUGAAUACAACAGGUGUAGUAGACCUUACAGUGAAAUGCUGAAUACAACAGGUGUAGUAGACCUUACAGUGAAAUGCUGAAUACAACAGGUGUAGUAGACCUUACAGUGAAAUGCUGAAUACAACAGGUGUAGGUAGACCUUACAGUGAAAUGCUGAAUACAACAGGUGUAGUAGACCUUACAGUGAAAUGCUGAAUACAACAGGUGUAGUAGACCUUACAGUGAAAUGCUGAAUACAACAGGUGUAGUAAACCUUACAGUGAAAUGCUGAAUACAACAGGUGUAGUAGACAUUACAGUGACAUGCUGAAUACAACAGGUGUAGUAGACCUCACAGUGAAAUGCUGAAUACAACAGGUGUAGUAGACCUUACAGUGAAAUGCUGAAUACAACAGGUGUAGUAGACCUCACAGUGAAAUGCUGAAUACAACAGGUGUAGUAGACCUUACAGUGAAAUGCUGAAUACAACAGGUGUAGUAGACCUUACAGUGAAAUGCUGAAUACAACAGGUGUAGUAAACCUUACAGUGAAAUGCUGAAUACAACAGGUGUAGUAGACCUUACAGUGAAAUGCUGAAUACAACAGGUGUAGUAGACCUUACAGUGAAAUGCUGAAUACAACAGGUGUAGGUAGACCUUACAGUGAAAUGCUGAAUACAACAGGUGUAGUAGACCUUACAGUGAAAUGCUGAAUACAACAGGUGUAGUAGACCUUACAGUGAAAUGCUGAAUACAACAGGUGUAGUAGACCUUACAGUGAAAUGCUGAAUACAACAGGUGUAGUAGACCUGACAGUGAAAUGCUGAAUACAACAGGUGUAGUAAACCUUACAGUGAAAUGCUGAAUACAACAGGUGUAGUAAACCUCACAGUGAAAUGCUGAAUACAACAGGUGUAGUAGACCUUACAGUGAAAUGCUGAAUACAACAGGUGUAGUAGACCUCACAGUGAAAUGCUGAAUACAACAGGUGUAGUAGACCUCACAGUGAAAUGCUGAAUACAACAGGUGUAGUAAACCUCACAGUGAAAUGCUGAAUACAACAGGUGUAGUAGACCUUACAGUGAAAUGCUGAAUACAACAGGUGUA